rnacentral:sRNA from 1 species
AUAAGCUCGUUCUGUUUUGUGCUCCUUGUUUGCCUAGGCAUACACCUGAAACACAGAAAAGAAGAAAACAAGAAACGCAUGAGUAACAAAAUAGAAGUAAAAACUAGACGAAAUCUCUAAACAAAACUCAAUGAUGAUUCCCAAGAAUUCCGGCAACGGCGCCAAGUUUGAUAUAAUUCAAAUUACAUAGAACUACUCUCUCAAAUAAGACAUCAAUUACGGUAUUUUAGGAUCAAAUUCACAGAGUUCUUUUGUUCAAACAAUGAGUUAAAUGUCGAGAUUAAGCUAGCAGGGUAUCAGUGAAAAUAAAAGAGAACAAAGUAAAAAGACAGCAGAUUGAUUGUGUUGUAAACGAUUUAAUAAAGAGCUAGGAACAGGGUAUUCUCAGGAAACUAUUGGUUAGUAGAUCUAAUGAAAGCUAGGUUGUUAUCAAACCAUUCUUAAACUCAAACUCUAAUUAUGGAAUAACCGGUGGGUGUGACGCGAAACUCCCUAUAUCUAUAGCUAAUAAUAACCGGAGAAGCCGAGAAACUAUCAACCUUAAUAUGCAUUCUCAACGAGUUCAAUUGUUCAUCUUAGUAAAUAGACCGAUUCUUAUUACACACUUAUAAACCAGACUCAUCAAAUAAUAGAUCCAACUAUAGAUACCUAUGGCUGGAAUAUCUAUUGUCUGGAUUCAAGAUCUAGUUAAUUACUCUAGAUCUAGCAUUAAGCAUAAUUAAAGAUGAAGAAUUCUAUAGAUAACCUAGCAAAGGGGGCAAUCUACUAAACCAUAUGAAUCCCUAAUGAGAAACUUUAUUCCUAACAAGCAGACUACUCAGACAUAUUGGAUGAAGCAAACAACAUAUUUGAGUGUGAAAGCAUAAACACAGUAAAUGGAGAAGGGGAAAGAAGGGAUCUCUUCACUGUAUAUCGAUUUGAAUGAAACUCUGAGAAAACAAUCGAUGAAUAGCUUAUGUCUCUCACAAUAGGGUUUGCAAAGAACUUGAUAAAAGACUUGAUAAAAGAAACUUAGGUCUAAAAACAAUAUAUAUAGACCCUAAAAACGUCCAGAGACUAAUAAUGCAAAUAGGGAAGUCUUCUAGGGCAAAUUUGAUCUUCUAUAAACUUGAAAGCGUCUACGGUUUUUGCAGGGCCGAAACUGGUGUCGAUCGACACCAAGAGUGUGUC